UCGGGGUUUGGCGGUAGUGACAAUGCCAGUUCCUCGCGGGCGAGUUGGAGUCGAAGGCGACUAUCGAGUGAGACGAGCUGCCAGCCCUGGCUCAUCGUGUAGUGCCUAGUGAAACGAGAUGACGGGCUCGCGGCUGAGACCCGCGUUCUUCGUGGGCCUCUUCCUAACCCUUCUAGCCGUCGCCUUACAGGGUGUGCAAAGCGAGGACGAGCUAGAAGUGCCGCCGGAGGAUCUGUGUCGACCGUACAUUGAGAAGGCGUUGAAAGACCUCGGUACAGGAUCUUUGGAGCAGACCAGUGCCGAGGACGGGGCCGACAAAGAGAGUCGAGAGGAGGAGGCGAAACCUGCGAGCGAUGAGGAAGGUGAGCCUUCGAAGGAAGGUGAAGCGGCAGAAGAGGAGAAACAAGAGUCGAUAGAGGAACGAGGCGAUGCAGAGAGCGCCGAACAGACUGAAGAACAGGCCGACAAAGCAUCCGCAGAGGCUGAGCAAGGCAGCGAACCUGGAGAGAGUGCUGAAGGAGGUGAAAGUGAGCAACCGGAUGAGAAGUCCGGUGAGGUGGACAGGGAAGACUCCGUUGAACAAGCGGGGGAAGAUGGUGGAGAUUCUGGCCAAGAGGGAACUGAAGAGGACAAAGAUGAAAAAUCCGGCGAGGAGGCGCAAGUAGAGGAGGAAAGGUCGGAGGAGGUUGAAGCGGCGGAUGCUGAAAAGUCGGAGGAGGAGUUGCAAGAUGAGGCUGAAAGAUCGGAAGAAGCUGGUGGCGCGGACGACGAGAAAUCCGAGGACGAGAAGUCGCAGGCUGACGAUGGAAAAUCCGACGAAGCCCAGGCCGAGGGAGAAUCGGCUGAGGAAGCGAAAAUCGACGAAGAGGAGAAAUCCGACGAAGAAGCCAAGACCGAGGAGGUGAAAUCCGACGAAGAGAGAGCCGAGGACGAGGCGACCGAUUCGAGAGCGGACGAGACGGAAGAGAAGGCAGUUUCGGACAGGGACGGAGAAGAAGACAGCAAGGCCGAAGAGGAGGAGGAAAGUCGAUCGGCGGAGCAACAAGUGAGCGGGGAAGAAGCGAAGGAAGAGAGUAAAGAGGGUGAAGGUGAAGGCGAGAGUGAAGCGGAAGAAGAAACGGAACAGAGCGAAGAAGCACCAGAAGGUAAGUCUGAAGAAGGGGCUGUGAAAUCGGCGGAGGAGGAAGAAGUGGGAACCGAGGAAGGCGAAGAAGAGACCAAAUCGACGGAAGAAGAAGGGAAAUCCGUGGAGGAAGACGCGGAAGAAGCUGACGCGGUGAAAUCACGCGCCAGGAGAGAAGUUGGCGAGGAGAAAGGCGAGCAAGAGGAGGGUGGAGAGGACGACGAAGGCUCGAAAGAGGCAGGGGAGAGCGAGGAGGAAGAACCUACCCCCGAGGAAGACCUGAUUCAAGAGAUAGAAAUACCUGAGAAUUUACGACCGCGCGAUCACAUCAAUCAGCUGUUGAAACUGGACGAGGAGAACGAGGAGAAGGAACGAGCUAUAGAGAGGAACGCGGACGUUAUCCUGAAGGAGUUAAAGAGGGUUUACGACAAUGCCAUCCAGCCGUUGGAGUCUUUGUACAAGUACAGAGACUUGAGCAACAGACACUUUGGUGAUCCGGAAAUAUUUUCAAAGCCACUAGUUCUGUUUAUGGGUCCGUGGAGCGGUGGGAAAUCGUCCAUCAUCAACUAUCUGCUCGAUAUCGAGUACAGGCAGACGUCGUUAAGGACAGGUGGUUUGAGAGAGUGCUUUGAGGAGCAAUGCAAAACGCCAAAUGGAAAUGACACAGGAGCCGAGCCAUCGCCGGCCUACUUCAAUAUUAUAAUGCACGGAGAGGAAGAGGAGAUCCUCGAUGGUACCCAGCUCGCCGCCGACUGGACGUUCUCCGGAUUACAAAAAUUCGGCCAGGGAUUGCUCGAUCGUCUUAAGGGUUUACGACUCGGCAACAAGUUACUCGAAAAAGUGAAUAUCGUCGAGAUACCAGGAAUUUUAGAAAUUCGAAAGCAAGUCCAACGUUUAUUCCCGUUUAACGACGCGUGUCAAUGGUUCAUUGACCGCGCGGACAUAAUAUUUUUAGUAUACGAUCCAUCCAAGUUGGACGUUGGGCCAGAAACAGAGGCGAUCCUUGAUCAGCUGAAAGGAAGGGAACACCAGACGCGCAUCAUUCUUAACAAGGCUGACCAAGUGAAACCGGAGGAGCUGAUGAGAGUGCAAGGUGCUCUGAUCUGGAAUAUAUCACCGCUGAUGUCCAGCGCUGAGCCGCCGAUAAUGUACUCCACAUCGCUGUGGUCGUUACCGUAUGAGGCCGGUGCACCAACCAGAUUGUUGUAUGCUCAGGAACGUGCAUUCCUACGCGACUUGCGUACUGCCAUUGACAAACGGGUCGAGCACAAGAUAGCGAGCGCCAGAAGAUUCGCCGUGCGGGUGCGCAAUCAUGCUAAAAUGGUCGACUGUUAUCUAACCACGUACUACAAUCACAAGACAUUCUUUGGAAAUAAAAAGGAGAUCAGUGACAAGAUUAUCGAGAACCCGCAAGAUUAUCACAUCUACGAGGGCCUGAGCACUCUGAAGAACAUAUCGCGCUACGACUUGCCCGAUCCGGACGUUUAUCGGGACUUUUUCCGAUUGAAUCCCCUUUACGAUUUCCCUCUGCUCAGCUCCACGUGCACGUACUUCCGCGGAUGCCCGAUCAACAGACUCGACGUUGCCAUUGCUUACGACCUGCCGGAGCUCGUCGGCAAAUACAGAAAAUCGGUGGAGCAAGUCAUACAUGAGUACGAGACGAGCCCUUCUAGUUGAGUGUAUGCUCCUACGUUCUCAAACGAAGCUCUUGAUGCCACACACGAGGUAUGGGACGAGAGCAAAAAAUCGUACGAAACAAACAGCGAAAGAACGAAAGGGAACGGACCAUUAGUGUAAAUAGCACGGAUACUGGUGACACUAUACGAUAGGAAAACGAUACGAUCGGUUAUAGUCAUAUGCUUAACAUACGCUCAAGUGAACAAAAGUGGAUUGGAAUGAGUCGAAGAUUUCAAGAUACCUGUGCUUGGAAAAUAGGACGAGUGUUACCAUUCCAAUCUAAGAGAAGAAUAGUGAGUUUCCCUCGAAUAUGUGUUCAAAAGUACAACUUCACGUUACACAGUUCACGGAAAACAUAUCACAACAAUGGUGGGUCCUAUUGUCUAACACACGGGCACGAAAGUUGGAGGUACAGUGAACUCGCGCGAUAGACAUCUUUUUUUGAAAUUUAGUGUAAUGGUUGUGCUAAUUGUAGUACAACGCUGUGACAACACUUUCAGCCAUCAGCAUACAUUGAAGUUACAUAUUAUAAGUAUGUAAAAUAUGAAAUAAAUAAAAAUAUUUCCAUUAAGAAAGAGAUAAUAAUGAUCUCUUUUUGAAGCUUUUGUGAAAUACCUUGUAUAUAUAUAUAAAAAACGAAUCGUGUUCUCAUUAAAAGUUAUAAAUAUUUAUUAAAAACAAAAAAAAUUACUUAGUUACUCGACAAUAACAUCCCACGUUGAUAUAUAAACUAUAUUUUCAAUGUAAAUUAAUAUAUUGUUUGUUUUAGUAAAAAAUUUGAUUUUUAAUGUACCUUGUGUAAAUUAAAAGCCUCACAUAAAUCAUGUAUUGUUUUGCA